AGCUGCUUAGCUAAAAAAUGUUAAUCGGAAGAAGCAAAAGUGGUUGGAGUGGUGCCAGUAAGAUGGUAUCGAUAUGAUCUAACGAAAAAAAUAAACCUGUAAAUAAUUUCUCUCUGUAUUUACUUGUUCAAGUGCCAGUGAAACGAACGAUAGAAAAAUAGAAGCAUUCAGUUGGCUUGGAAUUUUUUUUUAAUAUAUUUUAAAUAAUCUGAAUAA